CUCUAGUUUCUUUUUCAUAAGCUUCUUAGAAGUCAUACUUUGGUGUCUCUUUCAUAAACUUCUUAGAGAUUUCUCACAAUUCACAGACCAACGGUCUGCUCAUAAGAUGUGUUCGUAUAAGAACACUUGUAGAACGGUGUUUCAUUGUUAUAUUGUCUCCAACAAUGAUCGGUAAACGGUCCGGUACGUUAAGUUUAGCGGACAGUAGCAUCCUGUACGCGUCCAACAACGAAUGCCAAAGGGAACUCUAAAUUUUACCGGUUGCCAAGAAGACGUUAAAUGUGGCGGAUCUCGGAUGUCCCUUAUACGCCGACUCUUCUCCCUCCCGCGUCGGGGCGGAAGCUUCCUCUCGCGCUCCUUUCCGGUUGCAACUGUCUCCCCGCGGCGCCGGUUGUUCCCGGCGUUGUUUGUCGAAGGCAGUGGCGAAGCUGGGCCCCAAGUUGCCGGAGCCGGACAGGUCCGAACAGAGGUCGUCGCGAGCUCAAGCCAGCACUGAGGACGACCGUCCAUUCGUCCAAGUUUGAUGUAGCCAAACGCCGCCCCUUCCCUCCUCGCAGGUCGGUGCUGAGAAAAGGAAGUGAAGUCCAUCGUGUUCGUACGCUUCGUCUUCGAUUUUGUCAAAGGUCCCGAUCCAAGCCAUCGAAGUUCCCUGCAUUGGAUGACCAAAGUUGCUUCUAGUGAUUAUGGCAUGCAGGUGACGUAAUGUAAUUAUUUUCAUUACUCCAUAAUUCUAUUUUGGCACAUACGAACAAUAUUUUUUGUUGUGUGUACGACAUGGAAAAGUAUAUAAUAUAAAUUUCCAAUGUAUUGUUUCCUAUAUAGGAUCGAGGAGUAAUUUCUACAUUAAAUGAAAAUGUGUUGUAAAAAGUAUUUUAAAUUCAUGACAUACUUUUUUGUGAUAGGUGAAAAAAAUGUAGAUUAUUCAAAUCUAGUAACACUGUAGAUAUAGAGAACCAAAUUUAGGGGACGUUGCUGUAGACGAAGAAAAUAUAGAGAAUAGAAUCGUUUAGAGGGUGCUAUAAAGGAUAGAGAAUAUUUCUUUAGAAGAUGAAAUUUAGGGGACGCUGCUGUUGGAGGCCUUCGUCUUCCGAAGGUCCUCAAAAACAUGAUUUAACAAUGUUUUUCAAGUGUGACAUAUGAACAGGUAACUUCGGACUCGGGUUAAAACCAUACGCGAUGUGAAAAGCAUGGUUGAGACGAAGGCUGAUGAUUGCUUCGAAGCUACACGCAAGGAAGCUUCGGCUAAGUGGCGGAAAAAGGAACCGACUUAAAGGGGAAAAGACAAUCUAGUCCCCGUUGGUUUAUUCAUAAGUCAAUAGUAAAUAUAAAGGGCAUGAAUGUAAAUUUACACAGGUUGCGCCCUGUGCCUAUAAAUAGAUGAACAGUACCCCCGUACUGUUCACGCUGACUGGUACUCGCUUGUGCGUCACGCUUGUAAUUUCACCCUCUGUCAAGCCGAAGAUACAAAUAUAAUUCAAUAUUGUUUCUGUUUUUCCAUGAUAAUAUAAAGAAGAUGAGUUAA